rnacentral:rRNA from 1 species
AUUGAACGCUGGCGGCAGGCCUAACACAUGCAAGUCGAGCGAGAAAGGUCUUCGGACUGAGUACAGCGGCGGACGGGUGAGUAAAGCGUAGGAAUCUACCUGGUAGUGGGGGAUAACUUGGGGAAACUCAAACUAAUACCGCAUACGCCCUACGGGGAAAGCGGGGACCUUCGGGCCUCGCGCUAUCAGAUGAGCCUGCGUAGGAUUAGCUAGUUGGUGAGGUAAAGGCUCACCAAGGCGACGAUCCUUAGCUGGUCUGAGAGGAUGAUCAGCCACACUGGGACUGAGACACGGCCCAGACUCCUACGGGAGGCAGCAGUGGGGAAUAUUGCGCAAUGGGCGGAAGCCUGACGCAGCCAUGCCGCGUGUGUGAAGAAGGCCUUAGGGUUGUAAAGCACUUUCAAUUGGGAAGAAAGUUAGGUCGUUAAUAGCGGCCAGCCCUGACAUUAACCUUUAGAAGAAGGACCGGCUAACUCCGUGCCAGCAG